AUUGAACGCUAACGGCGUGCUUAACACAUGCAAGUCGAGCGGCAGCAUGAUCUGUAGCAAUACAGAUUGAUGGCGAGCGGCGGACGGGUGAGUAACAUAUAGGAAUCUGCCUUGUAGUGGGGGAUAACCCGGGGAAACUCGGGCUAAUACCGCAUAAUCUCUACGGAGCAAAGUGGGGGACCGUAAGGCCUCACGCUAAAAGAUGAGCCUAUAUUGGAUUAGCUAGUUGGUGAGGUAAUGGCUCACCAAGGCGACGAUCCAUAGCUGGUCUGAGAGGAUGAUCAGCCACACUGGGACUGAGACACGGCCCAGACUCCUACGGGCGGCAGCAGUGGGGAAUAUAGGACAAUGGGCGCAAGCCUGAUCCAGCAACGCCGUGUGUGUGAAGAAGGCCUUCGGGUUGUAAAGCACUUUUAGUUGGGAAGAAAAGCUUAUGGUUAAUAACCAUGAGUGAUGACGUUACCAACAGAAAAAGCACUGGCUAACUCUGUGCCAGCCGCCGCAGUAA
rnacentral:rRNA from 1 species